ensembl:lncRNA
GGUAUUAACGGAGGAGCCCAGAGCCUCAGCCCAGGGAGGGUUGCUGUUUAAACAUUGGCCAAUUUACCAAGGAUUUCAGAUAUUUGCUGGACAUUUUAAGGGGUUAACCUGAUCACAGACAGCACACCCAAAGAAAUGAGGAAACCGGGAUGAGAUUCCAUUUUGCCCAAAGACAUCCAGCCAGAAAUUAGAGGAGCUGGAGCUUGGACCCAGGUCUGACUCCAGGAAAAAUUCUCCCCUGGAGGGGUGGCUCAGAAACCAUUCUAAACACAGCAAGUAAAACAAGGCAGGGCUGCGUGGGUGAUGUAUUUAUGAGACUGGAGCUCCAGAGCCCACGUGGAGGAGUAAAUUACAAGUGAAUGCACCUCCAGGAUGGGGCAGCCUCCCUUGCCCUGGCGGCACUUCAAAGCUUCCUGAAAAUUCCCCCAAGAACAGUCAGUCUCGGCAGGGCCUCCCUGCAACUCUCUAAUGGUUCUGUCGGACACCUGCGCAAGGAUUCUCCACGAUCUGCAAGCGUCCACCCAUCAGUUUCCAUGCCGUUUGGGCAUUUAGCCACACCCCUUGGCAGAAGGAGGCUCUGAGACACAGCGACACUGAGGCUGUAACCUGCAGAUGUCUGUCUGGGAUUCCAUCUACCCAUCCACAAAGGGCCAGGAGUGUGUCUUGUCCGUCUUUGAACUCUCAUCUCUAGCACAAAUUAUGGCACUAGCUGAGACUCAGUAUCUUUCUAUGGAAAGAGUGCACUAUUUUGCUAUCCUGGUCUUUGUGCCAAAUUUGGUGAAAGUCCGUUUUGAAUUUCCAACUCCUUGAGACCACAGAGAACAAAGAAUUCAAGAUUCUGAUACAUUGCAUAGUGUCCAAACUGGCUCCUCAGUAACUUCCAGACAUCAAAAUAAACACUUUACUUUAGUGAAACUGCUUACAAUUUACAAAGCCCUUUUUCUUAUAGCCUGCCAUUAUUCUCUGCAACAACCCACGAAGCUGGCAUAGCAGCGUUCACCCCAGAGAUGAGGAAACUGAGACACAAAGCGGUUGGGUAAUUUCUCAGCUGGUAAGAGAUAAAGUCAGGACUCAGACCCAGGGCUUUUCAUUCUGAGCCCAGUGUUCAUUCGACUCCAUCAUAACAAGGGCUGUAUUUUUGUCCCUGCCUUCUGAGGGGCCCUGGAGGAGCUCCUGGAGAAGGAGGAAGAGGAAAUCAAGAUGAGAAGUCUCUGACUUUGCCUGGGGCAAUGGAGAAAGAGGAUGACGGUUGUCUCCACGCUUUUCCCAUUUCCUGAGCACCUAAUACACGCCAGCCUCCCUGCCGCAUGCA